GUGAAUGCUAGCGGUGCGCCUAACACAUGCAAGUCGAGCGGGAUUAUAAAAUAGCUUGCUAUUUUAUAUGAGAGCGGCGAACGGGUGAGUAAUACGUUGGAAUCUGCCCCCAAGUCAGGGAUAGCCCACCGAAAGGUGGAUUAAUACCGGAUGUGCUCUUCGGAGUAAAGAUUUAUCGCUUGGGGAGGAGCCUUCGUUCUAUCAGCUAGUUGGUGAGGUAAAGGCUUACCAAGGCUAUGACGGAUAGCUGGUCUGAGAGGAUGACCAGCCACAAUGGAACUGAGACACGGUCCAUACUCUUACGGGAGGCAGCAGUGAGGAAUCUUCCGCAAUGGGCGAAAGCCUGACGGAGCGACACCGCGUGAAGGAUGAAGGCCUAACGGUUGUAAACUUCUUUUCUGAGGGAGCAUAAUGAGAGUACUUCAGGAAUAAGGGGCGGCAAAUCACGU
rnacentral:rRNA from 1 species